UACGGAGGGUGCGAGCGUUAUCCGGAUUCACUGGGUUUAAAGGGUGCGUAGGUGGGGAAGUAAGUCAGUGGUGAAAUCUCCGUGCUUAACAUGGAAACUGCCAUUGAUACUAUUUUUCUUGAAUUUUCCGGAGGUUAGCGGAAUAUGUCAUGUAGCGGUGAAAUGCUUAGAUAUGACAUAGAACACCAAUUGCGAAGGCAGCUAACUACAGGGAUAUUGACACUGAGGCACGAAAGCGUGGGGAUCAAACAGG
rnacentral:rRNA from 1 species